rnacentral:rRNA from 1 species
AUGUUGCAACACAGUGCGGCGUGGUCACGGCGGUUCGUUCCAUUGCAGCUCCCUGCCAGUGGCGAGAUUCAGGUCGAAGCAGCACGCGAGUUGCACUACAGCUUUGCCAACGACGAGCUAGGAGUCGAAGCACAACUCGCGUUGCACUGCAGCUUCGCGGCCGGCGAGAUCCGAGUCAAAGCACAGCACAAGUUCCACUGCAGCUUCUCCGGCUGCGAGAUAGGAGUCGAAGCACAACUCGCGUGGCACUGUAGCUUCGCCAGCACGCGUUGCACUGCAGCUUCGCCGACGGCGAGAUCCGGGUCGAAGCACAGCGCGUGUUGCACUGCAGCUUCGCCGCUACCGAUGCAACGCCGACGACGGCGACCUUGUAGCACGACGGAUACUGCAAAAAAAAGAGCAAUUGCAGCGGCUGGAGUGUAG